rnacentral:misc_RNA from 1 species
UCGGCAUAACGUAAAAUGCCAAGCGCCCAGUGGCACCCACCCGCCUCUAUCACCGGGCAAAGUCUGGUUAUAAAAUCCCAGUUGUUAGUCCCAAAUCCAUGAGCUCUGGUUUUAAUCGCCUGUGGUUUCUAUUCUCGUUUUUAUCGCCCAAGCUAUAAGCAACUAUGGCCAGAAAAUUCUUUGUCGGCGGCAACUGGAAAUGCAAUGGAACAACUGAGGAGGUGAAGAAGAUUGUCACCAUUUUGAACGAAGCCGAGGUCCCUUCUGAGGAUGUUGUGGAGGUUGUUGUGAGCCCUCCCUUUGUAUUUCUUUCACUGGUAAAAGGUUUACUGAGGGAGGGCUCACAACAACCUCCACAACA